UACGAAGGGGGCUAGCGUUGUUCGGAAUUACUGGGCGUAAAGGGCGCGUAGGCGGUUUGUCAAGUCAGGCGUGAAAGCCCCGGGCUCAACCUGGGAACCGCGCUUGAGACUGGCAGGCUCGAGUUCGGGAGAGGAUGGUGGAAUUCCCAGUGUAGAGGUGAAAUUCGUAGAUAUUGGGAAGAACACCGAUGGCGAAGGCAGCCAUCUGGACCGACACUGACGCGAGGCGCGAAAGCGU
rnacentral:rRNA from 1 species